rnacentral:rRNA from 1 species
GGCACUAGAAGCCGAUGAAGGACGUUACUAACGACGAUAUGCUUUGGGGAGCUGUAAGUAAGCUUUGAUCCAGAGAUUUCCGAAUGGGGAAACCCAGCAUGAGUUAUGUCAUGUUAUCGAUAUGUGAAUACAUAGCAUAUCAGAAGGCACACCCGGAGAACUGAAACAUCUUAGUACCCGGAGGAAGAGAAAGAAAAUUCGAUUCCCUUAGUAGCGGCGAGCGAAACGGGAAGAGCCCAAACCAACAAGCUUGCUUGUUGGGGUUGUAGGACACUCUAUACGGAGUUACAAAGGACGACAUUAGACGAAUCAUCUGGAAAGAUGAAUCAAAGAAGGUAAUAAUCCUGUAGUCGAAAAUGUUGUCUCUCUUGAGUGGAUCCUGAGUACGACGGAGCACGUGAAAUUCCGUCGGAAUCUGGGAGGACCAUCUCCUAAGGCUAAAUACUCUCUAGUGACCGAUAGUGAACCAGUACCGUGAGGGAAAGGUGAAAAGCACCCCGGAAGGGGAGUGAAAUAGAACCUGAAACCGUGUGCUUACAAGUAGUCAGAGCCCGUUAAUGGGUGAUGGCGUGCCUUUUGUAGAAUGAACCGGCGAGUUACGAUUUGAUGCAAGGUUAAGCAGUAAAUGUGGAGCCGUAGCGAAAGCGAGUCUGAAUAGGGCGUUUAGUAUUUGGUCGUAGACCCGAAACCAGGUGAUCUACCCUUGGUCAGGUUGAAGUUCAGGUAACACUGAAUGGAGGACCGAACCGACUUACGUUGAAAAGUGAGCGGAUGAACUGAGGGUAGCGGAGAAAUUCCAAUCGAACCUGGAGAUAGCUGGUUCUCUCCGAAAUAGCUUUAGGGCUAGCCUCAAGUGAUGAUUAUUGGAGGUAGAGCACUGUUUGGACGAGGGGCCCCUCUCGGGUUACCGAAUUCAGACAAACUCCGAAUGCCAAUUAAUUUAACUUGGGAGUCAGAACAUGGGUGAUAAGGUCCGUGUUCGAAAGGGAAACAGCCCAGACCACCAGCUAAGGUCCCAAAAUAUAUGUUAAGUGGAAAAGGAUGUGGCGUUGCCCAGACAACUAGGAUGUUGGCUUAGAAGCAGCCAUCAUUUAAAGAGUGCGUAAUAGCUCACUAGUCGAGUGACACUGCGCCGA